AUUUAAUUUGAUGGAUUUUUAAAGAAAAUUUUUCGAAAUCUGAGAUCGUGUACCGGUACACAAUCUAGUACCAGUACGGGUACUGUAGCCGCGGGUUAUAUAACCGGAUACACGUUUCGAUUCUCUCUCAAAUCUUCAUCAAAACUGCUUCUUUCUUCUUCUGAAGCUCCUAGGCGAGAUCUCCUCCAGAUUUACUUGUUUUCCACGUGGAUUUGAAAAAUGGCGUUUUCGCUUGUGUUGCUGAUUUUGGUGCUGAUGGCCGCUGGAAGCGGUCGUGGACGUGGCCGAGGUGGUGGUAGAGGUCGUCGUGGGGCCUCUAAGAGGACACGUACAGCUGAAGAAGCGUCCGAUCUGAUCCGGAUUAUCAGGCAAGCUCCCCGGAAGAGGCUGAAGAACCUAUUACUCGUCCUGACAAGGGCAAAGGUAUAGCUGGCGAAUCCUCACGUGGCGGUGGUUCUCGUGCAAGAAAAACUCGGUCGAAGCAUGCCGCGGAUGUUCGUCCAAAGCGACGGAAGAUGUUCAUGAGCAAAUUUUGUAUUGGAGAGCGUUAUGUCAACUUUAAUGAUCUUAUACAUGACGUUCCUGGCUUUGGGCGACUACUUCAGCGGGUUCCUAUUGAGCCAGUUGGUAGGGUUCCUGCUCGGGCUCCUUUUUGUGUGGAACUCAUUCGUGAGUUCUAUAUGAACGGGAAGGUACUAGCAGAAAAUGAGGAGACCGGGACUUUUCUUUUUGAGACAGUCGUGUGACAGCAGAGGGUCGUCGUUACCCCAUACACUAUUGGAGAGCUUUUGGGGAUGAAUGUGGACACUACAGGUCUUCUUUAUACUUCAGGAGGAUUUCAGUCUUCAUCCCACUGGGAUACAGGUGUAGCAGCUAUCUGCAAAACUGGAGUGCAAACGAAUCGUGCUUAUGUAGAGUCCAAGGAUUUGCGACCAGAGUAUCAUCUACUGUCCUUGGUCUUGAGCUACAAUGUGCAACCAACGAUUUGAACAAAGACGAUUCGUUGGGAUCGUUUGCUUCUACUGUUUCUACUUGGUCACCCGGAGCAAGCAUUUGGAUUGAACAUCAACAUUCCCUUUCUGGUGUGGCAGCGGAUGAUUCAUGUUAUUCAGGCUUCUGCUCGACGGGAUUUACUUCCAUUUCCUCUUUUGAUCACGAGGAUUCUGCAGGACAAUGGAGUGGAUGUUUCUUGUGAAAAGUAUGAUUUUGGUCUUGGUCCAAUCGAUGCUGUUACUUGGGCCAAGUCGGUCAGCACUCUAAAGUCUUUUCAGCAAACCAAAAGGAACAUCUCGAGCAGCUCCUAGCCAGGCACCUCCACCACGCGUAGAGCGGGAAGGAUCUUCCAGUUCAGGGGGAGAAUCACUUCGCCAUGAAGUGCGAUCUUUAAAGAAGAAAGUGGUUGAUCUUGCUAGAAAGGUGGAAGUGGGUAUGAAGAGGAUGAUGGACAAGUUGGGAUGUAGACAUGACGAUAUUUUUCCUCCUCAGCCUGUCUAUACUAGGUCUACUUCACGACAUCCUCUUAUUCCUCCGUCUACUGGAGCUUCAGAUGCGGGAGGUUUUGGAGCUGGCGCUGGAGCUGAUGAUGAUGAUGACGAGGACACGGAGUGAUUUCUUCGUCGAGCUUAGUCUUUCUUUUUCACUGUAUUUGCUGUUUAGGAUGAUGUUUUUGUUUAGUUUUUCUGGCUUAUCUUUCUUUCGCAUGUUUUUACUUUUGUUUUAGGCCUGUACCUAUGACUUGACUACUCUUAUACUUUCUAGUAUAUUUUCUCUCUUUA